GACGAACGCUGGCGGCGUGCUUAACACAUGCAAGUCGAACGGUAAGGCCCUUGGGGGUACACGAGUGGCGAACGGGUGAGUAACACGUGGGUGAUCUGCCCUGCACUUCGGGAUAAGCCUGGGAAACUGGGUCUAAUACCGGAUAGGACCACUGCCUGCAUGGGUGGUGGUGGAAAGCUUUUGCGGUGUGGGAUGGGCCCGCGGCCUAUCAGCUUGUUGGUGGGGUGAUGGCCUACCAAGGCGACGACGGGUAGCCGGCCUGAGAGGGGGACCGCACACACUGGGAGUGGGAUACGGCCCAGACUCCUACGGGAGGCAUCAGUGGGGAAUAUUGCACAAGGGGCGCAAGCCUGAUGCAGCGACGCCGCGUGAGGGAUGACGGCCGUCGGGUUGUAAACCUCUUUCAGCACCGACGAAGCGCAAGUGACGGUAGGUGCAGAAGAAGGACCGGCCAACUACGUGCCAGCCGCCGCGGUAA
rnacentral:rRNA from 1 species